rnacentral:rRNA from 1 species
GUGCCAGCAGCCGCGGUAAUACGUAGGUGACAAGCGUUAUCCGGAAUUACUGGGCGUAAAGCGCACGCAGGCGGCGCAUUAAGUCUGACGUGAAAUCUCCCGGCUUAACUGGGAGGGGUCGUUGGAGACUGAUGUGCUUGAGGCGGUGAGAGGGGUGUAGAAUUCCCGGUGUAGUGGUGGAAUGCGUAGAUAUCGGGAGGAAUACCAGUGGCGAAAGCGGCACCCUGGCACUAGCCUGACGCUCAUGUGCGAAGGCGUGGGGAGCGAACGGGAUUAGAAACCCGAGUAGUCC